UGGCUCAGAGGUUAAAGCGUCUGCCUGGAAUGCAGCAGACCUGGGUUCAAUCCCUG
rfam:Ovis aries breed Texel chromosome 3, whole genome shotgun sequence.